rnacentral:rRNA from 1 species
AACGAACGCUGGCGGCAUGCCUAACAUAUGCAAGUCGAACGAGACCUUCGGGUCUAGUUGCGCACGGGUGCGUAACGCGUGGGAACCUGCCCUUAGGUUCGGAAUAACUCCCCGAAGGGGGUGCUAAUACCGGAUAAUGUCUUCGGACCAAAGAUUUAUCGCCCUUGGGUGGGCCCGCGUUGUAUUAGCUAGUUGGUAGGGUAAAAGCCUAUCAAGGCGACGCUCCAUAGCUGGGCUGAGAGGCUGAUCAGCCACACUGGGACUGAGACACGGCCCAGACUCCUACGGGAGGCAGCAGUGGGGAAUAUUGGCAAAUCGGCGAAAGCCUGAUCCAGCAAUGCCGCGUGAGUGAUGAAGGCCUUAGGGUUGUACAGCUCUUUUACCCGGGAUGAUAAUGACAGUACCGGGAGAAUAAGCACCGGCUAACUCCGUG